UGUUUCAGACAUUCUUAAUCUCCACACAAUGUGUUGAUUAACUUCUUACCAAGAUUGUGUACAACUAGUUUAAACAUCUACAAUAUGUUUAAAAAAAUUACUACCCAAUAAUUACAAGCUUAGAAACACAAUGAUGUAGGACAAUUACAAAAAACCGUUAAUGAUUCCGUCCUUGUUUAUAUUUUUCUCUCCUUGCUGCCUAUUUGCACCAUUAAGUUCUUAGAUUUUUUAUUCGUGUCUUUAGAAAAAGAAUGUCUCAUUUGUUCUGUUAUCCGAUGCAGAGCACAAUUCCUGCGAGGCACUAUAGUUAUCAGUUGAAUAUUUUGGUUUUUAGUUUUGACUCUUUUUUGACUUUAAGAAAGUAUAAGACUCACAGUCAUUGCAUCUACAUCUAUCUUAACGAACAUAAGUGACAGAAACUUACUAUGAAAAUAAAUAGAACAUGGGACUAAUUAAUUUUAUUGGGCCACACAGACAAACUUCUAUUAUUCGCCAUUACCUAUCCAUCAAAAUUGAAGAUCGAGAUAAAUAAAGAAAUAAAGAAAAUUAGAAUUUGUAAAUAAAGGGAAAAUAUACAUUGAAUAGUAACCUUCUUAACUAAGGAUUCUGCGAGAGAUGUCUGUCCAAUGUCAUCUUGAAAAUUGACGCCAAACCAUCCAAUCCAUUUAGCAUCGUGUUAAAUUACACCUGCCAGGUUAGAAUUUGUAGUGGAUUACAUAAUAACAGAAAUAUAAACAUGAGAAAUAGUAAUGAAAUAAUAAAUUCUCAUUUCCAACCGGACCAUUCAUUAAGGCCCCAGCACUUACAUCCAUAGACCUAGAAUCAUCUUAUUUCCAUUGAUCAGUGAGUGAUGACCUAUUCUCGACAAACAGAGGUUGCAUCAUUGGUUGUUAUUAACAUUAAACAUAGGCAUAAUCUUGGAUGGUUUAGAGCAACCAAACACAUUGAUCUAUAUUCUUAAAUACGAACGAGAACAAUGAAACCCUAAGCGUGCCGAAAGCCACUUGAUUGUAUCUACCAUCUCUCCAGGUACUGUGUACAGUCCUAGUCUGUAGUUCCAUUGAGAUAUACUUAAUUGCCAUUGUAUGGUUUGAAUGUGAUAUUUCCGAAUGAAGUUUAGUGCAAAAAUUUUGACCUUUUUCACCAUCAUUGUAGACAUCCACAUCAUCACCUAUAAGAUUAAAAAACAUGGAGUUCGAAUAAAUAAGAUCAAAAAAAACAAAAAGACAUUUUAUUAAGACCGAUUUAGUGAUAAAGCAAGAGUGGAAGAACAAUAAAUCAGCCGAGUUUUAAAAUUACUUGUAUAUAUGCUGUAAUAUGUAGUCAUGGAGAGACAUAUGUAUGGGAUUCCUCCAAGCAUUAAUACUGGCCUAGUAGGUGUUGUUUGAGAUAUCCAAUGUAUCUGCGUUGGGAGUUUAGCGUUAGAAUUAUUUUAAAACAUACAUAUUUCUGAGCAUAUGGUUGGAGUGCUCACAUUUUGAAUAGGAUGAGUUUCUAGAGGUUAUGAAUAGCUGUGUAGUAAAAGUCGUAUAAUAAAAUACAAUCAGAUCGAGAGUAAAAUACAGGUCAUGUUUAUCGAGCACAGUGAAGAUGGAAUUGAAAAACACGUUAGUACUCAGCCACCAAAUUUGUGAGACCCAAGGAAUCAAGAUUUAGGCAUAAUUUGAACUCUGAAGCCUAUAUUUCAUAGUUCAAUCAAACAGCAAUAAGGAAAUAUGAAUGAAAGACUCUAGGAAGGAAAGAACACCGACAUAGCUGGAACCAUGAUCACCUAAGCCAGGAAGCCUACAUUGUUUAACACUUCUUCUAACUCUAUAACCAGUGGCCGUAGAAGUUCUUAGAUAGCGCAUCUCAACAAGAACACACUAAGAUUGAAAAAUUUAUUGAUUUUUGAAUGGAGAAGUAUUCAGACAAUUGAUUGAAACUCUGUGUAUAUAUAUAAAGAAGGUUAAGAACUAAGCACUUGGUAGUAAUAUCUAUAGCUAAAAUAGUCAGUACUCAUUUAAGCUCUCUUAGAGCUCACUAAGCCAAAGAGUGUUUCCUGAAAAAUGGAAGCGUUUUUUUCUCUUUUUUGAACUAUAAUACUAUUUCUAUCGAGCCUAACUAGUCGAGCUCGACCUCGACAAUGCAAGCCAAGGCUUGUUUAGCUUAAUGAGCCUAGAUCCUAGGCUCGAGCUUAAAGAGUCGAGCCCGAGGUCAAGCCAUAGCCGAGCUUAAAGCCUAAACUUGACACUCUACAUGAAACAAUGAAAUACAUACAAUAUCCUCUCCCUGUGGUGAGGAGUGGAAUUCCACAUCCUUAUUUCACAUAUGAACAAUAUGCAAACACAAAUUUUAAGAAAAGGACCAAUUACUAUUACUGACUUUUAGCCGCUAGUUCACUAAUGGAUUAUUGUAUUUAAUUCCCAGGAAGAGAAUACAUGUUCCCCAUACUAGGUUUGGUCGAAAAAACAGUAUUAGAUUUUCCCAAUCUAGAUCGAAUAACUAGUUGGCAUCUGUCAAAGAUUCCUCCUAAAUUAGAGAACAUUAGGGGCCUCUUACAAAAUGAUAGACUCAAGUAUUUGGGGCCAACUACUUGAGUAUAAAUGCACAAUUAAGGGAGCAUGCUAAUUUAACAAUAUUUUCAGAAUCAAUCAUAGAUAAUCCAACAUAGUACUCUCUACCCGACAUUGGUACCCUUUAUUCUCUCUGGUGUAAUCCUGAAUAACAAUUAAUUUUCCAGAUUGAUUAAAUGAUUAUUAACCCUCGUUUGAUUGAUGCUUAACGAUUCCUAAUCAGCCACUACUUCUUAAUACAUUGGUAUCUGGUUACUGCUAUACUACUUUCUUAAUAAAUUGGAAUAUCAUUUAAGCCUCAAUUGUAUAUUUGAACUUUCCCCAUAUAUUGUUUAACACGUCUUCUAACUCUAGAAGCAGAGGCCGGAGAAGUGCUUAGGUAGCUCAUCUCAACAAGAACACACUUAAAUUGAAAAAUCUAUUGUCCUUUGAAUGGAGAAGUAUUCAGACAAUUUAUGGAACCUCUUUGUAUAUAUAUAAAGCAGUUGAAGAACUCAACACUUGGUAAUAAUAUAUAUGAAUGAUAUCCAACACAUCAUUGUUUCCCAUGGUACACGAUACAGACAAGUAAUUAAUAUUAAGGUGAUUUUGGUGAUUUAUAAUACUACACCACCCAAGUGUAUACAUAUAUAUCAGAAUAAAUCAAAUCAAACUAGCAUAUUGACAUGUACAAUAAAAAUAAUUAUUUCACCAUAUAUAUUCAGAAGAAGAUCCACCCACCUCAAUGUCUUCAACUGAUUUUGAGUUUGGUCAUAUAAACUAACUAAGCUGUCGUUUCUUAGAAACAGUGUUUGUGUUACCCUAUAUGUAUAUACAAACAAAACAUGAAUUACAAAUAUUUCAAUCUAGAAAUUCAAUGAAUCGAUAUGUUUAUUUGAUUUUAAAUUAAUAUAAGAUUUGUCUUAUAAUUUUUCAAAAUUAAUAUCUCACAUCAAUUAGUUUCCUAUAUAUAGAGAAAGAACUAUUUACGGUAUUAUAUGUACCUUUGAUUCCUUCGAUGCAUCAUGGCUGUCUUUAUUGGUAGUAAUUCUGUACGAUGCUGCCACGUUUGGUAUACUCCUGUUAUCAUGUAUUUCAUCUGAACGACAAUAAACAACAUCCGAUAUAUUAUAUUCAGCUAUGUAAUUCUAUUUAUUUUUUACUUAAAUAACGUUUGGUAUAGUUUUGGAUGAUUUUGGAGCAUAGCAGAUUUUCUACCUGGGGGGUGUAAAGCAUUUGGUUUGAAUGCUCACAUUUGUUUUAAAUUUACCUCUUUCUAAUAAAUGCAAAGAAAUUAACAACUAGUUAUUCAUACAUAUCUGCCUAGGAUAAUUUAUAAUCAAAGUUCGAGACGAAUAAAUUGGCGGCAAAUCUCUUUUCCUUCGCUACCAGAUCUAUGUAUCAGUUAUGGUAAUCUACCGCGCAGCUCCGAGCGUUAUGUCCUUGUUGUUGGCAUUUUUUGCAACAUCUUGGCUUUUUUACUUUAAUUUCUCUAGUUGACUUGAACCUCGGGUCUGCCUUGCUCGGGCGACCCGUAUUUUUCCCGCUUCCUUUUGUCUUCGCUACCUUAGGAUUCCCUAUUAGAGGAAUGCAAGUAAUCUUAUCUUCAAAUAUGGUAAUAGAUCUUGAAACCGAUUGCCUAUUAGCGGUGGAGUGUAGCCCUUCAAAUUCUUGCAGGAUUCCAUUCAUUCUUGAAAUUAUUUCAUCUUCUAUCUUUGCAUUGUUUGCAAUCAAUCUUGCGCAUCUAUUGAAAAUCGAUGUAAGAGCGUUACCUACGGGUUUUUUAAUCCCUUCUUCUCUUGUUUGUGAUUUGUUUUCUGUCUUUUUCCAACGAUCGCAAAUCAGAUCAUUUGGUAAUGAAGUCCUUCCAGUUGAUGUUAGAAAACAAAUAAUAUGGCGGCACGGAAUUGCUUUGCUUGAGAAUAGAUGAUAGCUACAUGAUGGUGUAUCAUCCAAAUCCUUGCAUGUUAUUUUAGCUGACUGAAUUUGGGUGUAUAUCCCUACUACAAUGUGAAUAUUGGGUUCAUGUGAAAGUAGAUAUAGAAAUAUUAUAAAAAAACCAUAUUAUGAAAUGUAUUCGAAUUUAAUGACCAUUCCUUACAUUUGGAAGUCCUCGAAUAUAAUAGCAUACACUUUUCUGGACUUGUUGCUGGUAUAGUAAAAAAAACCUCUGUAGUGUAGAUGGAGAGCAAACAUUUUUCGAUUUGUAGUUGUGUAAUUAGUAAUGGUGGUGCGUCCCUGUCUCUGUGGUUCAGUUCUUCGAGUUUGUUGCGUUGUGCGUUUAACACUACUUUUAGGGAGCAAACAAAUUCGAAUAAUGUUGAUGAUCGUUUGACGUUUAACUUCACUAGGGAAUUCAUCCCCUCACUUCGUUGGGUACUCUGCAUCCCACCGAAGAAGUGAUUAGUCAUGUAAAUUGGACACCAGCUUUCUCGGAUGGUAUACAUAUCUUUCAACCACUUGUUUUCUGUUAGUUUAUUGUCGGUGGCCCAAGAAGCCCAAUUUUUCUCAAAUUCAUUGAUAUUCUCAGAUGUAUUCAGGAUCUUGUUGAACCGUUCCAUCUCGUCCUUAUUCCUGUAGACUAUGCCAACCUUAUCACACAUCUUGUGGGUGAUGUGCCACUUGCACAGUCGAUGAAAUGUUGUUGGGAAUUCACGUGAUAUAGCAGUUUUCAUUGCUGCGUCUUGGUCAGUUAUUAUUGUUUUAGGGUAAUUACCCAUGCAUUUCUUGAAUUCUGAGAACAACCAUAUGAAGGAUUCCGUAGACUCGUUCGAGAGAAAUCCAUUAGCGAAGAGUACCGUUCGCAGGUGAUUGUUUAGCCCACAGAAAAUUCCAAUAAUUAGCUUAUACUUGUUUGUGUUAUACGUCGUAUCGAACGUUAUAGCCUCUCCGUAUUGUUUAUAUUCUUCAAUACAUGUAGGGUCAGCCCAAAACAACUGCUUCAAAGAUCCUAUGAAUAGAAAGAGCAUAUUACUACUGUUUAAAUUAUAUACAAAGUUUCAUAUAAAAUUGUUUUUUACCUUCCUCGUCGAGUUCGUACGAGUAGUAGUAAUCGUCGUCAUGAUCCUUAAGUGUUCGAAAUUUAUUGAUAAGAAUAUCUACGUCAUGACUAUUCAUGUUUUCCUUGUCGUCUCGUCGGUAAUUUGAGAAAUCUCGCUGGGUAAAGGAACAGCUAGAGAAGCCCCUCGAUUGCAUAGCGACGUAUGUAUAUUGUUGGCUUGGAGGAAUGUUUGAUUCAUCUAAACUUCUUAUCAAAUUUCGGGCAUACGGUGUUAUUUCCCUAUUUAUCUUAAGGAACCUUUUAUUUGAUGGCGCCGACAUAUCAUGGUUGUGAUCAUCGUUGACGUUACAUAUCAUCCAUUGUUCUCCGAUUUUCUUGAUAGAAAGAAGAGCUUUGCAUCCUGUUCUUGAAUUUCUUAUGUGUCUAGGUUUCGUAGAUAUGUUGGCUGGAUUUUCUACUACUGGCACCUUUGCCUUUGAUGUACCCUCCUUUGAACAAACGUAUGUCUUCUUACGGAGACCCUUUUUCGAAUGUCUAGUUGAGCCUUUUCGCACGCAGAAUCCUUUCUGCCCCGCGAAUGCGUAGUAGGUAUGUUCCACCUCUUCUAGUGAGUCGAAUGUCAUACCGACCUUUGGAAGAUUGAUAAAUCUGGAAAAGUAUGCACUUAUCAAUGUUAUAGUAAUAUGGACUAGAUGUGAUGUGUGUACCAAAUAGUUAUGGUUUGGCGUAGGUUACCUGAUGCUAUCCACAUCUGUACUAUACAUAUCUUCCCUUCCAUAUUGAUCAUCCCUAUUAGUUGGACUGAAAAAUCAAUACCAUACAUCUUCAAAUGAUGUGGGACACCCAUUGGCCUUUCAAAAACAUAUAAUUUAGUAAUCCAUUUCUAACAUAACUUAAAUUACCUUCCUUCUGUCAGUAAAUACGUUUUGUUGUUAUGACUAUCACCUACUUGUAGUUCUUCUGAUUCUGUGAACAAAGUUUCUUUUAGGGGAACCUGACUAGUUAAUUGUUCAUUUGAAUAAAAUCACUUAGGAUUGAAUUUUAAAUACCUCUCCUUUGAAAUUCAUUAUUCAGGCCUAGUGACUGUUUAGCAAAAGAGGAUGAAGGUUAUUAGAACCUAUCCAUGUAAUUUCUAUUUUGUUAAAAAGUUCUCAUAAAAUGUUUAGCGUAGUAUCCUACUCCUAUAGAAUCUUAUAUAAACAAGAGGAAUAACCUAAUAUGAAUCGAUUUUUUUUUCUUUGCAUAUAGUAAACCUAGAAAAGCGUAAGCAUCUUACACUGUAGUUGUCGUUCGUGGGAGCUUCCUCAAUCAUCCUGCACAGAAAAAAUUCCAUUAAGUUCGAUAGUGUGAUUAAAUUAGAAUAACCAUUACUGAUAUUAGUAAUUAGAAUAACCAUUCAAUAUUCAUACAUAAGUGUUUUACUUAUACUGUGCAAUAAUCGAGACAGAAGCAUUGCUGAUCAGGAGAAACUCAACCGGGCAAUUCAAGAACGUAUAAUGAAUUAGGUACAUAAGGACCUAUGAUAGAUUAUUAUUUUUGUGCAAAUAAUAAUAAAACUACCGGCCGAUUAAACCUAAAGUCUGCUCUGGAUAACAGUGAGCAAAACCAGUGCAUCCCACAGAUAGAUACUAUGCAUACUAACUUUAGUGUGCUCUUAUGAAAUCUUAUGAUAUUUUCAAAAUAAUUGAUAUAAAUCUAAAAAUACUCAUGUGUAUGACGACUUAUUAAACAGAAUCACAUAUGUAUUAAUACGAUGCCUAAUCAAAAGAUAUGACAAUAUAAUUAAUCAAAAAUGAAUACAAUUCGAAAUGACAUCCUUCAUACUUGGGCAGUGAUAUUUUGUAUAACGAAAAUGUAAAACCGCCGGACAUGAGUGGGUGAUACCAGCGAAGGUUAUAGCCAGAUUAUGUGGAUACUAAUGAAGAGUGAUUUAUCAUGAAAACGAAUAGUAGUUGGGAAAGUACCUUAACUUGUCGAUGGCGAUGAUCCAAAUUUUUAGACAUAUUUAAGUAGAAGUCACCUGAAAAUUAAAUACCAAAUAAUAACUGGUAGUAAUUACCCUCUUUACUAAGUUAUAUUAAAUUUCAUCUAUAAAAAUUAUGGACACUUUUUUAGAAUUCAUUAGGUUUCGUUGUUAUGACUAUCACCUACUUGUAGUUCUUCAGAUUCUGUGAACAAAGUAUCUUUGAGGGGAACCUGACUAGUUCACUGAUGAUAUGAAGAAAAUCAUUCAAAAAUGAAUUGUAAAUAACUCUCCUUUAUUUAGGACUAGUGACUGUUUAGCAAAAAAGGAUGAAGGUUAUUAGAACCUAUCUAUGUAUUUUCUAGUUUGUUCAAAAGUUCCCAUAAAAUGUUGAGCGUAAUAUCCUAAUCCUAUAGAUUGUUAUAUAAAGUAGACGCAGUUCCUAAUAUGAAUCGAUGUUUUUUUUUUUGCAUAUAGUAAACCUAGCAAAUCGUAAGCAUCUUACACUAGUUGUCGUUCGUGGGAGCUUCCUCAUUCAUCCUGCACAGAAAAAAUGCCAUCGAGUCCAAUAGUGGGAUAAAAGUAUCUUGUUUUUACUACAGAUAUUAGUAUUUAGAGUAACGAUUCAAUAUUCAUACAUUAGUGUUUACUUAUACUGUGCAAUGAUCGAGAAAGUAACAUUAUUUAACAGGAAAAAUCAAAAUCGAUCAAUUCAAGAACUUGUGAUAAAUUAGGGGCCCAAUGACCUGUAAUAGAUUAUUAUUUUUGUGCUAAUCAUAAUAAUACUGAUGCCCGAUUAAACCUAAAGUCUAAUUUGGAUAGCAGUGAGCUAAACUAGUGCAUCCCACAGAUAGAUUCCAUGCAUACUAACUACUAAUGUGUUGGUAUGAUAUCCUCUGAUAUUUUCAAAAUAAUCGAUUUAAAUAAAAAACUACUAAUGUGUAUGACGAAUUAUUAUACAGAAUUACAUUUCUAUUCGUACAAUGCCUAAUCAGAAAAUAUGACCAUAAAAUUAAUCAAAAAUGAAUACAAUUCGAAAUGACAUCCAUCAUACUUGGUCAGGCAUAUUUUGUAAAUCUAACAUGUAAAACCUCUUGUGGCAAAAUGCUUUGAACAGCUAAUAUGAAAUUAGUUAAAGUAAAUAGAUCCAUGAUUAAUACUAAUACCUUAAGGUGGAAAGGGCAAUAGUAAUUAUAACAAAGUCCUUUGUUUGAUUAGUUAUACCGUAUCGAAUUUCUUUUAGUUUCGCAAAAGCUUUUUAGAAUUCAGGUAACUAAAAUCCGCGGAUCUUCUCAACCAUAGGGGCAUAGGAAGUGUGGGAAUGUAAUGUAGAAAAUAAGGAUUUGGGUAUUUUUGGGCAAUACCUAGCUCAAUACACCACUGGACAUGAGUGGGUCAUACCAGCAAAGGUUAUAGCCAGAUUAUGUGGAUACUAAUGAAAAGUCAUUUAUGAAGAAAACGAAUAAUAGUAAGGAAAUUACCUUAACUUGUCGAUGGCGAUGAUCCAAAUUCUACGUAAUAAUUAUGUAGAAGUCACCUAAAAAAUAAAUAUCCAUUAAUAAAUGUUUUUAAGUACUGUUAGAAAAUACAAUCUUUACUAAGUAAUAAUAUAAUUCGUCUAUAAAAAUUAUGAACACUUUUUUAGAAUUCAUUACGUUUGGUUGUUAUGACUAUCACCUACAUGUAGUUCUUCAUAUUCUGUGAACUAAGUUUCUUCUAGGGGAACUUGACUAGUUAAUUGUUCAUUUGAAUAAAAUCACUUAGGAUUGAAUUUUAAAUACCUCUCCUUUGAAAUUCAUUAUUCAGGCCUAGUGACUGUUUAGCAAAAGAGGAUGAAGGUUAUUAGAACCUAUCCAUGUAAUUUCUAUUUUGUUAAAAAGUUCUCAUAAAAUGUUUAGCGUAGUAUCCUACUCCUAUAGAUUCUUAUAUAAACAAGAGGAAUAACCUAAUAUGAAUCGAUUUUUUUUUCUUUGCAUAUAGUAAACCUAAAAAAGCGUAAGCAUCUUAUACUGUAGUUGUCGUUCGUGGGAGCUUCCUCAAUCAUCCUGCACAGAAAAAAUUCCAUUAAGUUCGAUAGUGUGAUAAAAUUAUAUUGUUUUUACUAUAGAUAUUAGUAAUUAGAAUAACCAUUCAAUAUUCAUACAUAAGUGUUUUACUUAUACUGUGCAAUAAUCGAGACAGAAGCAUUACUGAUCAGGAGAAACUCAACCAGGCAAUUCAAGAACGUAUGAUGAAUUAGGUACAUAAGGACCUAUGAUAGAUUAUUAUUUUUGUGCAAAUAAUAAUAAAACUACCGGCCGAUUAAACCUAAACUCUGCUCUGGAUAACAGUGAGCAAAACCAGUACAUCCCACAGAUAGAUUCUAUGCAUACUAACUUUAGUGUGCUCUUAUGAAAUCUUAUGAUAUUUUCAAAAUAAUCGAUAGAAAUCUAAAAAUACUCAUGUGUAUGACGACUUAUUAAACAGAAUCACAUAUGUAUUCAUACGAUGCCUAAUCGGAAAAUAUGACAAUAUAAUUAAUCAAAAAUGAAGAUAAUUCGAAAUGACAUCCUUCAUACUUGGUCAGUGAUAUUUUGUAUAACGAAAAUGUAAAACCGCCGGACAUGAGUGGGUGAUACCAGCGAAGGUUAUAGCCAGAUUAUGUGGAUACUAAUGAAGAGUCAUUUAUCAUGAAAAGUAAUAGUAGUUGGGAAAGUACCUUAACUUGUCGAUGGCGAUGAUCCAAAUUUUUAGAUAUAUUUAAGUAGAAGUCACCUGAAAAUUAAAUACCAAAUAAUACAUUUUUUUGAGUACUGGUAGAAAUUACCCUCUUUACUAAGUUAUAUUAAAUUUCAUCUAUAAAAAUUAUGGACACUUUUUUAGAAUUCAUUAGGUUUCGUUGUUAUGACUAUCACCUACUUGUAGUUCUUCAGAUUCUGUGAACAAAGUUUCUUUGAGGGGAACCUGACUAGUUCACUGAUGAUUUGAAGAAAAUCAUUCAAAAAUGAAUUUUAAAUAACUCUCCUUUGAGAUUCAUUAUUUAGGCCCAGUGACUGUUUAGCAAAAAAGGAUGAAGGUUAUUAGAACCUAUCUAUGUAUUUUCUAGUUUGUUCAAAAGUUUCCAUAAAAUGUUGAGCGUAAUAUCCUAAUCCUAUAGAUUGUUAUAAAAAGUAGACGCAUUUCCUAAUAUGAAUCGAUGUUUUUUUUUGCAUAUAGUAAACCUAGCAAAUCGUAAUCAUCUUACACUGUAGUUGUCGUUCGUGGGAACUUCCUCAUUCAUCCUGCACAGAAAAAAUGCCAUCGAGUCCAAUAGUGGGAUAAAAGUAUCUUGUUUUUACUACAGAUAUUAGUAUUUAGAAUAACGAUUCAAUAUUCAUACAUUAGUGUUUACUUAUACUGUGCAAUGAUCGAGAAAGUAACAUUAUUUAACAGGAAAAAUCAAAAUCGAUCAAUUCAAGAACUUGUGAUAAAUUAGGGGCCCAAUGACCUGUAAUAGAUUAUUAUUUUUGUGCUAAUCAUAAUAAUACUGAUGCCCGAUUAAACCUAAAGUCUAAUUUGGAUAGCAGUGAGCUAAACUAGUGCAUCCCACAAAUAGAUUCCAUGCAUACUAACUACUAAUGUGUUGGUAUGAUAUCCUCUGAUAUUUUCAAAAUAAUCGAUUUAAAUCAAAAACUACUAAUGUGUAUGACGAAUUAUUAUACAGAAUUACAUUUCUAUUCGUACAAUGCCUAAUCAGAAAAUAUGACCAUAAAAUUAAUCAAAAAUGAAUACAAUUCGAAAUGACAUCCCUCAUACUUGGUCAGGCAUAUUUUGUAAAUCUAACAUGUAAAACCUCUUGUGGCAAAAUGCUUUGAACAGCUAAUAUGAAAUUAGUUAAAGUAAAUAGAUCCAUGAUUAAUACUAAUUCCUUAAUGUGGAAAGGGCAAUAGUAAUUAUAACAAAGUCCUUUGUUUGAUUAGUUAUACCGUAUCGAAUUUCUUUUAGUUUCGCAAAAGCUUUUUAGAAUUCAGGUAACUAAAAUCCGCGGAUCUUCUCAACCAUAGGGGCAUAGGAAGUGUGGGAAUGUAAUGUAGAAAAUAAGGAAUUGGGUAUUUUUGGGCAAUACCUAGCUCAAUACACCACUGGACAUGAGUGGGUCAUACCAGCGAAGGUUAUAGCCAGAUUAUGUGGAUACUAAUGAAAAGUCAUUUAUGAUGAAAACGAAUAAUAGUAAGGAAAUUACCUUAACUUGUCGAUGGCGAUGAUUCAAAUUCUACGUAAUAAUUAAGUAGAAGUCACCCAAAAAAUAAAUAUAUAUUAAUAAAUUUUGUUUAAGAACUGUUAGAAAUUACCCUUUUCACUAAGUAAUAAUAUAAUUCAUCUAUAAAAAUUCAUUACGUUUGGUUGUUAUGAAUAUCAACUACUUGUAGUUCUUCAUAUUCUGUGAACAAACUUUCUUUUACGGGAACUUGACUAGUUAAGUGUCAUUUGAGGAAAAUCAAUAAUGAUUGAAUUUUAAAUACCUAUCCUUUGAGAUUCAUUAUUCAGGCCUAGUGACUGUUUAGCCAAAAAGGAUGUAUGUUAUUAGAACCUAUCCAUGUUUUUUCUACUUUGUUGCAAAGUUCUCAUAAAAUGUUGUGCGUAAUAUCCUAAUCCUAUAGUUUUUUAUAAAAAGAAGAAGAAUAACCUAAUAUGAAUCGAUUUUACACAGUUUCUCACUCAGCUAAAAGGAUAUCUAAUUUCUAGGCAAUAUAUAGAUUUCAUACAUAUAAUGAUACUUGAUAUCAACAUGAAAGAAACUACCUUCACUUCCUCACAAAUCAGAGAUCAUAACAGAACAUGAAACGGCCACUUUACCUACAAACCGAAAGACAUCUUUAUUUGGGGGAUGAAUUCCAUCACCAUUAAUAAACUAAAAACAGAACCCUGCAGACAACUAGAAAUGCAGGGUAUUGCCUAUGUGGCUGUGUGCAUUGCAGAUACAAAUCAUACAAUCAUAGUAAUGACAUUAGGUAUUCAAAAUUGAAUGCAAAAUUGAAAAUAGAAAUGUCUUGGUAAAAUUAUAAAAAUAUUGUUGAAAGUCUACAGAACCUAUCCACUUUAAUCACAGAUUUUGGAACUUCAUAUUUAAAAAUAUUCAAGAUAAACACAAUGUUUUUGUUGAAGAAUAAUCAGAAAUCAAAGAAAAAAUUAAAAAGCAAGUGAGAAAUCCUCUUAUCUUAAAGCUUCAAUUAUUUAAAGUUAUAACAUUUAAAAAACCAAAUUUGAAGUCAACUAUAAGUCUAUAACUUAUGUGGCUAUGUGCCUAUCUGAAUUGAUAAAAAUACAAUAGGAACAUCAACACAGUUAAAAAAUUCAUACAUUUGAGUAGACUAAGAAUUGCUAAAAUAAGUAAACGAUAAACUAAAGUGAAGUUUAAUAUAAUGAAUAAUAAUUCGAAGAAGUACAGACCCGCAAAGAAUCUUGCAGAAAUAGUAUCAUUGUGACAAAAUAUACUUGAACCUAGACAUGUUGAAAGUAAUAAAAUCCCACAACUACUUGUCUGAGGUAAAAAUUGCCAUGUACUGUAAUCCCUAAUGCCAGUAAAAUACUUUACACAUUUUAGCUGGUUUGUGAAAGAAAAUUUCCUUUUGAGGACCAUUUAGUUUGAACUGUGGUGGCCUGAAUUUUCCAGUCUCAAAGAAAUUACACUAAAUCUCUGAAAUCAUGUUCGAACAUGUAGUUUGAACUGUGUUUACAUUGCUGUUUCAGACCACCAAUUAUUUGAUUGUUAGUAAGUAUUUAUUUAGCAAACUAAAUAAAUUCAUAGAGCUAGGUAAGUUGAUAUCGAAUUCUAAUUUAUGGUGGGAUAAUUUGGUUGAGAGGCAAAUGUAUCUAGGUGACAUUCUAAUUGGAGAUGAACAACUGAAUUUCUGAAUAGCCUAAUAUAGAGAUAGUUGGUUGCAUUGAAAGAGUACAUUUGAUUAACAACGGUAAUGAAAACUAUUAAGUCCUAACAAUACUCAUUUUCAUUUCAGAACUUAGGAAAGUGAUCAUUUAGAAUGGGGAGGAGUAUUGAAAGAGUCCACCCAUUCCUUCCAUUCUUGAGGAUCAAUCUCGUAAGACUUCAAAGCUUCCUCGUAGUCCUCAACUGACGAGGGUUGUAUGGGUAGAGGCGGCAUCAAAGGCAUGUAGUUUGGAUGUCCCUCAUGGAUUGCUUGUAGACAAAACCAGCAUUGAUUCAGUUCGGGUAAAGCACUUCUCCUAUACGGGUUUUGUAGUCGAUAUUGGGAGAGUUGCACGGGUUCUUGAAGUGGAGGAGGGGGUGGAUAUGGGUAAUGAUCGAAGAAGUUUGGCGAGCAAUGGGCAAAGUUUUCCGACCUCAUGAAUGGUUCAUUCGAAUGAGAUGAUUCUCCUUGCAUCAUUACUCGGUUCCUCUUCCGAAAUGGCCAGCACCCGCGCAAUCCAGAGGUCGUUGAGGGCGAUGAGGUUGAUUUGGACGGUCGACGUCCUGGAGUAAUAGGCCUGGGCUCCAAUGAAUCAGCGACAACCCCGUUCUCUGUCUCAUCAUCGCUGAUGACAAUGACUUCGUUGAGGUUACCCCUCCUCCUCCUUACACGGUUGUUUUCGGGAGCACCUCUCUUCCUAGAACUCAUUGCUUAAGUAUGAACUAAUUGAAUUUUAUAUAUUAGGCUGCAAUCAGUAAUUAUGAAACCUUGAAAUGAGGUGGUAAAAAGCAAUAAAAAAUCAGAAGAAAAAUUUGUGACAGGAAGACAAUCAUUAAAACAAAAGAUUUUACCAACUUCAAUUCACACAGGCAACUAUCAAUUGUAAAACAGUAAAAGAAUGAAAUUCGUAAUGGCUAGAAAAUUAGAUGAAGUAUCAUUAAUUUUAUGGACGAAAUCAAACAAGUUAAUUGGCAACAUGACACAUCCUAGUCCAUAGGAAUGAAACUACGAGGAUAGACUAUGUUGAAGACAAAGAAAGUAGUUUGAUUUGAAAAAAUAAACAACCGAAGAACUUCAUUAUCAAAUAACAAAUUAAUUAUUUGGCUAACAACGCUAUCACUAACAUAGCAUGAUUCAAUCUACUGAAAUAUUUUAUCCUUCCAAAAAUGAAAAUCCAGAAUGUAGGUGCUAUUUGUUAAACAAUCACAACUUAGCUCCAAAAAUCCAGAAAUUCAAUCUACCAUAAAAGAUGUCGAAAAGCUGCAUUAACAGGCAUUGGCAAAGACAGACAUUGACAAAGACAGACAAAAAAUCAAAUGGGUUCAUGCAAGUUAUUUUGUGUUAUGAAAUCGUCGUUCAAAAAUUGUUGGAUGUUUAGCUAUAUUCCUCUAUUUUACAACUAUCAGUAUGGAAAUCAGAGAAACCAGUUUUGAAACAAACCCAACCAGACAGAACGAAACCCAACAGAAAGAUAACUACGAAAAAGAAAAGAAGAAUCGAUGAAAAGAAAACCAAAAAUCGCCCAAUGUAAAUCUGGAAAUACCUUUAACAGUGGAGUGUUGGAUACUAAAUUGACAGUGGGGAGGAUUGUUGGUACUAAGAAUGGAGACCCCCCCCUUUAAAUAGGGCGAUUGCAAAUGGCGCCGAUGUAAAUUGGAAGUCGGUCACCCGUCGGUCCUCAGCAAAUGUCGGCCUUGCUGGCCGGCCUCCAUCAGUAUGGUCUUCUCUGCCUAAACAUUUGGGGAAAUGGUUCGUAGACGUUCGGCGUCGGGUAGUAAUAUGUCUGAUUUGAUGGCCGUUCAUGAUUCCUAUUGCACGGACGACGUUCGGAAUCGGCGUGGGAUGUGCGCCAUGUUGUCCGUCCGAAAUGUGACGUCGUCCGUAGUCUGACCACCCCCAUACCGCGGGCACUGUACACCAUUGGACUGCAAAUGGAUACGAGCCGCGGUAGUGAGUAAGAUAAAAUCGAAUGGGAACGGCCGGUCGACAUUGUGUAGGCCGACGGAUUGAAAUCCGUCCAUCGUCGAAAAAGUGUCCGUUUGAGACGG
rnacentral:lncRNA from 1 species